AUCUCUUGUGACCUUCAUGAAUCCAUUGAUUUUUAGCGGUCCAAAUAGCCCAGAUGGCAUAAACAAAGGUUCGACAUACAUCAAUCCUACUAUUUAGCAUAAUCCAGGUAAACCAAUCCAUGAAUUCCAUAUGAGAUAUAUCAUGAGGCCAUGCGUAGUUUGCUUUUUCCCAUGUUUCCUUUGUAAUAGCACAAUCACGAAAGAUAUGUUUCCUAUUCUCCUGUCCUUGCAUACAUCUUGGAUAGACAACUUCAUUAGUUAAUCUUUUUAUUCUUAGAUUUACUAGUGUAGGUAAAAAGUUGAGAGUGGCUCUCAAGGCUGUAAUAAUUAAUUUUGAAGGGAGGUCACUGUUCCACAACUUUUUGUAGCAUUUCCUAUUAUCAAUCGGGUUGUAACUAUUAUCAUCGAGAAAAUUACCUUGUAAUAGUAAUUUGUAUCCGCUCCGCACUAUAUACUCUUCCGUUGAUUCACCCCCCCAGGCCAAAAAAUAAUCAUGAGAAAUAUGAGCCAGUGGGAUUAGGAGAAUCUUUUGAGCAUCAUCUUUAGCAAAGCAUUCGGAACCCAUACAUCGUCUUCGAUUUUAAUGUCACGUCCAUUGCCCACCCUCCAGCAUAAUCCAGUUAGCAAGAGACCUUUCGCAGCCCAUAUGCUUUUCCAAGUAUAUGAAGGACCUUUUGAAUCGUUGCUUUGAUUGGAUCGACUCAGAAGCUCGCACACUAUCAUCAACAUCUUGGUAGUCAUUUUGGUUCUUACUAGUUGGUUUAAGUGGCAUGAAUUAGGAAAAGGUCUAUAAUAAUUGAAUAUUUUGUAUGGAUGUAAAUGUUUUAAGUAACUUAUUAUGCUUGUUUCUAGUAAAAAUAGUUAAACUUGUGUGCUUAAUUAGGUAAACCUUUUGGAACAUAUAUAUAAAUAGAAGUUGUAUAAAUCUUGUGGUGUCAAAUGAUGAUGAUUGAAUACUUCAAGUAUGCUAUGUGAAUUAGCUUAGUUAUAAGUUGUUAUAA